rnacentral:lncRNA from 1 species
UUAUUAUACGCCCGUCAAAAUUUUGACGGGACGUAUUAUGGUAUACAAAUGUCCGGUGUCCGUCCGUCUGUCUGUCCGUCUGUCUGUCCGGCGUAAACAUGUCGCACCGUAACUUGAGAACGACUUAUCCAAAUUUCAUGAAACUUUGUUGUUUCUUAUGAUGGUCAAAUGAUCUGUAUACUUUUUGGUGAAAAUAAGAUUAAAACUUUUUGAGUUACGGCACUUUGUAACUAAAACAGGGGUGUGUUUUUUUCACAUGUCGCACCGUAUCUCAAA